rnacentral:rRNA from 1 species
GACGAACGCUGGCGGCGUGCCUAAUACAUGCAAGUUGAGCGCUGAAGGUUGGUACUUGUACCAACUGGAUGAGCAGCGAACGGGUGAGUAACGCGUGGGGAAUCUGCCUUUGAGCGGGGGACAGCAUUUGGAAACGAAUGCUAAUACCGCAUAAAAACUUUAAACACAAGUUUUAAGUUUGAAAGAUGCAAUUGCAUCACUCAAAGAUGAUCCCGCGUUGUAUUAGCUAGCUGGUGAGGUAAAGGCUCACCAAGGCGAUGAUACAUAGCCGACCUGAGAGGGUGAUCGGCCACAUUGGGACUGAGACACGGCCCAAACUCCUACGGGAGGCAGCAGUAGGGAAUCUUCGGCAAUGGACGAAAGUCUGACCAAGCAACGCCGCGUGAGUGAAGAAGGUUUUCGGAUCGUAAAACUCUGUUGGUAGAGAAGAACGUUGGUGAGAGUGGAAAGCUCAUCAAGUGACGGUAACUACCCAGAAAGGGACGGCUAACUACGUG